rnacentral:lncRNA from 1 species
AGACCCCGAUCACCCGCAGCUACGAGAGUUGCCGCCGCCAGUGUGUGCCGGGCGACGUCGCCCACGCCCCUGCCAGCCAUCCUCACAGCAGCAGCAGCCCUGGUAGAAAUUGAUGUGGGCACCCUCUCGACCCGCCCCUGUACUUGUCUUUGUCCCAGCUCUGCGGACUGAGCCUACCUCUCUUCCUUGGGGUAUUAAUGCUACCUAUUGUCUCUCUUGAAUCUUUUCCCUCCAAAACUGCACAGAAGGAGCCAUUUAACACCCAGGGAAACUGAGGCUUAGAGUGCUGCAAUGCUUGCCCAAGAUCCCACAGCCAGAUGGGUAAAUCUAGGAUUCACACCGAGAUCUUUGGAAAACCAAAAGACUUUUCCUCUGCUUUUCAGCCUCCAGAAUUCUCUGAAUUGCUUAAGUCUCUGGCCUCAAAUGCCCCAAGAUCCUCCUUGGGAGACCUCUCUGACAGGGAGCUUGGGGGAGAGCAGAGGGGCAUUGACUUAACUCUGCUGGAGGGAUCUUCUGAGGAAGAAACUUCUCCUUCUGCAUCCAGGCUGUGCUGGGCCCUGGACUCAGAGGAGAGGUGGUCCCAUGCCAUUGGAUUGCAUCUAUGACUUCGGGAGGUAGGGCGAAGACUGGUCCCCCAGACACCACAGAGCUUCCCAUCUUCUUUUGCCAGGUAAAGGUUGGGGGCUGCUCCCAGGAGCCCACAUCAAAUCUGUUUGCUCUGAGGCCUAGAACCACAAGGCCCCUAGUGCUUCAAAAGCCAUGGGGGUUCUCAUAGGACCCAGGAACUCUAAGGUGGCUUCUGAAGCUCAGACCCCAGGAAGGGAGAGCUUGGAGUGGGUCAGGAGACCAGGGAACCAUCUCUCAUUC